rnacentral:misc_RNA from 1 species
GGCCAUUAGAGUUUGCAUUGUGCUCAGAAGCAGCAGCAACAACACAGAAAAUGACUUUUAAGAGAAGAAAUGGAGGUCGUAACAAGCAUGGACGUGGCCAUGUCAAAUUCAUCCGUUGCUCAAACUGCGGCAAGUGCUGCCCUAAGGACAAAGCCAUCAAGAGGUUUCUUGUAAGGAACAUUGUUGAACAAGCUGCAGUGAGGGAUGUUCAGGAAGCUUGUGCUUUUGAAUUGUACACUCUUCCUAAGCUGUACUUGAAGAUGCAAUAUUGUGUCUCAUGUGCCAUUCACUCUAAGGUUGUUAGGGUUCGUUCUCGUACUGACAGGAGGGUUCGUGAGCCUCCACAGCGUUUCAGACGCCCAAGGGAUGAUCUUCCUAAGGCUGGUCAAGCUCCACGCCCAGCCGGAGGUGCUCCUCCUGCUGCUGCUCGUACUUAAGUGAAACAACUGCCAUUAGGCUAUUGUUUUGUUUUUUUUGUUUAAUUUGAGCAAAAUCUUAUGGUAUUUUGAGAUGUGUUUUUGAAAUGGAAUUUUUUAAAUUUAGUUUUACUUGGACACCAUUAUUUUUAUGCUUGCAAAUUUUAUGAAAUCA